CAGGGAGUGCCGGUGGGAGAACUGGCAGGCAGUGCCCUAUACCACGAAACUCGCUGAACAUACCCAGGCUUUCUUAGGAAAACCUGGCUCGACAGAGCCGCAACUCGCAAUCAGAGUUAAGUGGUACCACGAAGCUCACUUUAGAUUCAAUUAGUUGAACCAGGUUUUCCGCUUUAGGUUCAAUGCGCGUUCACAUAAAAGGGGCGUUUCUCGCGUCAUUUGACUCACUUCUGCAAAAUGGAUCGAGCAAGAGCGGUGUAUUUCACUCAAGACGAGCAAUGCAUAAUUAUGAAUUCGUACGAGGAAUUUAAACAGCAAAUUACAGUCAAGGGGAACACGGUUGCCCAUAAUAAGGCUAGGGUUGCGUGCUGGCAAAAAAUAGCCGACCGUGUUAAUGCGUAAGUGAAAAGAUUCUGCAUAUUGUCUAAAAAAUAUCUAGGCCUAUCAUCAUGCCUUUUACCCCCAUAGAUGUGGUGCCAGCACGCACCUACGAACAUGGGCCCAAGUGAAAAAUAAAUAUAAAAACAUAAUUCAAUGUGGUAAGUUGUAAGCAUCCAUUUUAAUAAUUUCAGGUGAAUCUAGCCUAUGAUUUGCAUUGGCCUAGGCUCCAACCUUUAAUCUCAUGUUGAUUACCUGUAGCAAAUAAAAAGAAAACAAAAAUUAAUACGACUGGGAGGGGGACUGCUCCACCGCCCUUCACCACUUCGGAGGAGCUGGCUCUCGCCAACAACAAAGGUCGGCCAAUGAUGGUAGGAGUGGAUGGGGGGAUGUCGUCUGACCCCACUGCCUCGACAUCGAACCCGUUUGUAACGAUUGAAGGUACAAACAUUGUUUUGGAGAAGCCGCCGACAAUUAAUCUCCAAUCAGAGGAAACACUGUCGGCCUGUGACUCCAGGGCGACUAUGGAGAGGGAAAUGGCAUUGGAUGAGCCCUCCUCCUCCACCUCAACCUCAACCUUCUCAAGGCCUUCUCGUGGGACAGACAAGAUUGGAACAGACACUAUAAGGGCGCUGUACAAGCGCAACUUGGAGCUGGACAACGACAUCAAAGUGUUGGUGAAAAAAAAAUUGAAGAUCGAGAUCCAGCUCCUCGAGAGGGUAGGCUAUUUAUUAGAUUUUCUUUGGUGAAGCUCGACUGACUACUGAAAUAAUGUUCUUUUUCCUACUUUCACAGCAACUGCAUGGCGAUGCGACGGCUAAUAAAUAAAAUAAUUGAACAAGAGCAAAUGUUUUUCCGUCCAUUGUAUUUAUUGAACACAAGUCACAAUGAAGUUAUGAGAUUAUCAAAUGGAAUGACACAUUAACAUUCAUACCAAAUGUAGCCUACUUAAUAAGCAAAAACUAGACCAAGUGAUCUAGAGAGUUUCACCCAGUGUGUGGGUUGAAUUUGACAUUUACGGAACACCACAGAUUAGGGAAUUGUAAAGGCAGGACCCUGCAAGUGUAAUUGAAUGUAUAGUCAGUGAAACUAAACGAAAAUCAUUUCUGAUAUGUUGACAUUCUGUGGGCAAGACCUUGGAAAAUCUAAAUGGGAAAAAAAAAGGCUCCAAAAGAGAACGUGCGUCCAUUUGGAAUAAUUCCGUUAAAUAAAUUGCGUACUUAACGCGUUGACUUGCCCAGCCCUAAAAAAAACAAACGCAUCCUUCCAAGAGGGAAACGAAACAAAACAAAAAAACUAACCAAAAAACUGGUUAGUGAUGGCCCGUCUGACCGCCGUUCCUGUGGGAUGAUCCACCGUGAUGGGGUCCACCACAUCAUCUGCCACUAAUGGCACAUGUGGGGCUCUCUCUUUCCGAAUUGAUGCAAUAUUGUGGAGCACCACACAUGCCGUGAUGAUUUGGCUUCCUCUCUCCGGCUUGACCCUCAAACCACGGAGGCAGUUCCAGCGGGCCUUGAGAAUUCCAAAGGUCAUCUCGAUCCUCACCCGGCCUGUGCUUAAGGCCCUGUUGAACCGUGCCUCCGAUUCACUCUGUGGGUCGCCGUAUGGUGUCAUUAAGAAUGGCAUGCAGGCAUACCCUCUGUCCCCAACAAGAAUUCCAUCAUAACGGCCUAUCAGAAAGAAAAAUGUGAUCAGUGCCUUAAUCGACAUUUACAGUUAGUGAUCUUGUGUAGGCUAUUGCGCCACACCUUCCUGAAACUGUCGGCAAAGACUUGACUCCCGAAAAAUACGGGAGUCAUGGAGCGAGCCAGGCCAUUUGGCAUCCACACUGGUAACCAUGAGUUGAUGGUCACAAGUCAUCUGAAAACGGCAUUUCUGUUACAAUAGUUGGCCAUUAUGAAGCAUAUAACAGUUUUAGUAGGCUACCUGCAAUUUCACUACCCAUAUGAUAGGUCAAUAGCCCAAUAGGCCUACUUUACCUGCACAUUGAGGCUAUGGGUUGACUUUCUGUUCACAAAGUCAGCCUCAUGUUCCCCUAAAGGUCCAGUGAUGGGGACAUGGGUACAGUCAAUAGCUCCAAUCAGUUUGGGGAAUCCUAAAGGGAUUAUGUAGAAUGUUACAAAUGCAAACGGGUACACAGGGCAUUAUUCCGUAACCUUGUGAAUAAGUCCUAUUCCAUAUGGCAUAAGAAUUGGGACAUUUUAAGCUACACAUAAAUGCACAUCACUUGGGAGCCGAAUAUCCCGCACGCAGAAAUUCAAGACUGACGCGCUACCUCCACUCAGGAGCUUUUAUUUUACCUGAAAGUGUGUAAAAUCCUUCCUUGACAAUUUGACUUGGCAAGAAGCUGGGAAACGCCACAAACCUAUGGAGCAAAAUAUUGAGCGCAGCUACAACCUUGUGUAUGGCACGGCACACCGUAUUUUUGCCAAUACGUUCCGCAUCACCAACUGCAUGUAAAUAUGUGCCCGUGGCAAAGAAUCGCAGGGAAACACAGACACACUGCGCAACAGUAAGUGCACGGCUUCUUUGUGUCACAUUGCCUACAUACGGUCCAACAAGGUCGAUCAGAUAACGAAUACCCUCUGCUGAGAAUCUGUAUCUCUCAUAAAGAAUUUGGUCAGAAAAUGCCAGGGGAUCAGUUCUGUCCUGAAAAACCCUCUGUCUCCGGAGAGACGCCUGUACGAUACGUGCGCCGAGGUCCACGGUAACACCCAAAAAUGGUGACGCCAUUGUCGGAGGAGGGGCUAGGAAGCUGCGCACGCCGAUUUAAGUAGCCGAUCUCCGGCUAGACUAAGCCGAAAAACUGGUCCCGACCAGGUUUGGUUGCGAGCAUAAGUCACCAUGGUGAUACAGCGACGCUAAAAGAGAUCGACUUUCGUGGUACAACUAACCCAGGCUUGGAGCUCAACAUACCUCGCUAACCCUCUAAGCGAGCUUCGUGGUACAGGGCCCAGGACUGGGUUCUAAGGAGGCUCUCUUUCCUGGAGCCAUAUAUAAGGAAGAGAGCUUCUCUGUCCAACGUGGAUGAAAAGGUAUUUAUUUUAAGUAAAACUUAUACAACACAUAUAUGGGC
rnacentral:lncRNA from 1 species